AGUCAUUUUCAUAUACUUUUUCUACGGAGGAUCGUGUCCGUUCUUUACCUGAUUCUGUCAUUCCUGAAGCACCAGACUCGCCCACACUCCGCCACAACCUCAUCCGGGAUAAACUGGUCUGCGCACAGCCAGUGCCACGAAAUGAGUCGGGAAUAAGAAGGUGCCGAGUCUCCGCUUUCGACACGAAACGGGGGCUCUUGUUGCCAAUUUCUGGCAGAGCACUUUUACCCUGAGAUACAGAGACAGCCCCUAACGGUGCCUGUGGCGGGGUGCCUUCAAAGUCGGCCUUUCCGAUGUCCGACAGACUCCCGAGUCGAAACAUGUCCUCCGUACCUCUGCGGAGCGAUCCUCCACUCAUUACAACCGUCAACGUCAAUGUCCCCGACCUCCUUAGAGAUUGCAAUUGGCAAAUCGUCGGCGCCUACGACAACCCUUUGCAAACGCCUUGGAGGGGAGGCGUCCGUACUUUCAGUCUCGGUAUGAAUUGUCAAGCACUUAGAUGGAAAAGGAAAGAUAUUUUGAGAAUCGACAAGAACAGGAUUUCGGGAUAAUGCAUCUGCAUUGGAAUUGAUUUUCCCAGGUUUAUAGACCAUCUCAUAAUCGUAUUCGUUUAAUCUAAUACGCCAUCUCAUGAUACGGGAAGUGGGAUUUUUUACAUUGUGCAGCCAAAUCAGCGGUCGAUGCGUCAUUAAGGGUCCGAGAUGCAUACGCGAUUGGGAGAUCUUUUCCGAUCUGACCCUGACUCAAUACAGCUCCGACUGCAUAAUUAGAAGCAUCAGUUGUUACGAGGAAUGGCUGUUGAAAGUUGGGAAAUUGGAGCAACGGCUCCGAACAAAUGAUAUCACGUAAACUCUCGAAAGCGAAUUUGACAUCUUUACCCCAGACAAAAGGAAAUGACUUAACAGCCGUGAUCUUCCCGGGGUCUGGUUUCACUCCUUUGGCAGAGAUAACGUGACCCAAAUAGGCAACUUCUCGUCGCAAGAAUCGACAUUUCUCGGGUUGUAACGUUAAA